rnacentral:rRNA from 1 species
UUGCUUUCAACGGGGUUAGCGGCGGACGGGUGAGUAACACGUAGGCAACCUGCCUUCAAGGCUGGGAUAACAUCCGGAAACGGAUGCUAAUACCGGAUACACCAUUUGGCUGCAUGGCGGAAUGGGGAAAGGCGGAGCAAUCUGCCACUUGGAGAUGGGCCUGCGGCGCAUUAGCUAGUUGGUGGGGUAACGGCUCACCAAGGCGACGAUGCGUAGCCGACCUGAGAGGGUGAUCGGCCACACUGGGACUGAGACACGGCCCAGACUCCUACGGGAGGCAGCAGUAGGGAAUCUUCCGCAAUGGACGAAAGUCUGACGGAGCAACGCCGCGUGAGUGAUGAAGGUUUUCGGAUCGUAAAGCUCUGUUGCCAGGGAAGAACGAGUGGGAGAGUAACUGCUCUUGCUAUGACGGUACCUGAGAAGAAAGCCCCGGCUAACUACGUGCCAGCAGCCGCGGUAAUACGUAGGGGGCAAGCGUUGUCCGGAAUUAUUGGGCGUAAAGCGCGCGCAGGCGGCUUGGAAAGUCGGGUGUUUAAGCUCGGGGCUCAACCCCGAUACGCACCCGAAACUGCCAGGCUUGAGUGCAGAAGAGGAAAGUGGAAUUCCACGUGUAGCGGUGAAAUGCGUAGAGAUGUGGAGGAACACCAGUGGCGAAGGCGACUUUCUGGGCUGUAACUGACG